GACGAACGCUGGCGGCGUGCUUAACACAUGCAAGUCGAACGGAAAGGCCCUGCUUUUGUGGGGUGCUCGAGUGGCGAACGGGUGAGUAACACGUGAGUAACCUGCCCUUGACUUUGGGAUAACUUCAGGAAACUGGGGCUAAUACCGGAUAGGAGCUCCUGCUGCAUGGUGGGGGUUGGAAAGUUUCGGCGGUUGGGGAUGGACUCGCGGCUUAUCAGCUUGUUGGUGGGGUAGUGGCUUACCAAGGCUUUGACGGGUAGCCGGCCUGAGAGGGUGACCGGCCACAUUGGGACUGGGAAACGGCCCAGACUCCUACGGGAGGCAGCAGUGGGGAAUAUUGCACAAUGGGCGGAAGCCUGAUGCAGCAACGCCGCGUGCGGGAUGACGGCCUUCGGGUUGGAAACCGCUUUCGCCUGUGACGAAGCGUGAGUGACGGUAAUGGGUAAAGAAGCACCGGCUAACUACGU
rnacentral:rRNA from 1 species